rnacentral:lncRNA from 1 species
UCAAUCUCGUUUUAAAAGAACAUUGUAUUAUUAUCAUGCAGGACUGAAAAACAAGCAGCGAUAGUGAAUCUAGAACCAUUGGAAAAAUAGGAAGCAAAAACAAACCAAAGAAGAAGUGAUAAGGAGCAUAAAGGGAAUGUUUGCAGCAGCUGCUGCUGUGUUUCUCUCUUCCCUGUUGUGGCUGCUUUUUUGUCUGUAGGCGUGUCCCCUUUCGGUUUGGUGUUUAGGCAGCUUCAGCAGGGCUAUGGAAUAGAAAUUUGAUGAAGUGAAUUUAAUUUCAGAGUCAUAACUGUUGUCUCGUGGUUGGUGUUUGUUUUUGGGGAUUUCACAGCCAUUGCCUUCUAUGGUUUUGCGGUGAUUUUAUACUAUUUGCGGUGUUUUUUGGAUUUUACGCCUGUUUGCGGCAUCGUUGUAUCUUUUUCACCGUGGCUUUGCGCCUUGCUAGAGUUCCGGUUUUAAUAAUAUUUGUUGUUUCAGAAAAGAAAAAAAGAAGGAUAUUAACAAGAUGAGUGGAUAGAGAUGAAAAGGAUAUGAACAAGAAAGAAUGAAGCAAUGAGAUCGAAUAUUUUGAAACUACUUUUUUUUUUUUGUGCAUUA